UCUGGCUGCAAUCCGGUGGAUAUGCAGUGUGUACAGGUACAGUACGUGAUAUCAAGGGCAGGCGGUCAACACUGGGGACAAGAAGCAGACGUACUUCCAAGAGGGAGCUGCAGUGAGGUCAGAGGAGGCGCUGGAAGGUUUCCCUAAUAGUUCCUGGUGAAU